AGAUGUUGAUAAAGAAGUGGCUCUGACGGCUCUGCGUAGAUUUUCGCUGAGAUAGUAGCAUAGUUUUCCGCGAAAUGCCAUGUUGAAGCAGCGAUGAUUAAGGUUUAGAAUUUAAAGAAAUGCACGUCACGCCGUAAGAACGCACGUCGUCGGAGGAAGGAGUUCGUCAGAGGCAAUAACAGAGUGUAGGGUUAGGUGCAUUUGCAUAACAUAUGUGAGAAACCGAAAGUUGUACUUCAACUACGAUUCAAGUCACUGUCUUUCAACCCUAAAGAGUUAGGUGAAUUACAAGCUCAAAAUAAUUGGAUUCAAUGGUGUUUGCAGUCUGCACUUUGAAACCCUAAUCUAGUGGCCUCGCCGGAAAACGUAUCCAGUUGGGUCUUCGGCUAUCUCCAAUUCUCAGGUCGGUGGGUAUUGAUUAAAACGUGGUAAAAGAGAACCUUAGCAUCGUCAUUUUUUCUGUUUCAAAGUUUGGGUUUUGAAAGAUUAUCGACCGAUUUGGUUCAAGAUUUAAGGGUUUUUUCUUUGAAUACAAGAUAAUGAGCAAAUAUUGGUAAAUAUGAGAAAUUUCGUAAAAUAUUACUAGAUUUUUUGUCUUUUGUAAAUCGUAUCUCAAGAAAAACGGACGGUUGAGAUCAAAUAUCUUAUGAGUAUCUCAUAUGAAGUUGGUCCAAUAUAUAUAGGAUUAGUGAUGAAAAUCGAAAUAUCCCACCAGCAUUCGUGGUGGUGCGAAUGGACGUCUUCUCGUGUCGGAGGCUUUGGAAUCCACAAAAGUCGCUCUACAUCAAGUCUUCAGUAGAGAAUCGACGAUUUGGGUGUCAAAUCGACGAUUUGGGUGUCAAAUCGACGAUUUGGGUGUCAAAUCGACGAUUUGGGUGUCAAAUCGACGAUUUGGGUGUCAAAUCGACAAUUGCUCCGUAAAUGUCGUUUUGGAAGGUGUGGAACUGAUGUCUUAGAUGUCCUCCGGAAGUCUUCUUACCGUAGCGAUGGAUUGACUUCUUACCGUAGCGACAGAAAAUUAUAUUUAGAUCCGCAACGACGGAUGAUCCAUAGCAAUGAAUUGAUUUCUGGUUGCAGCGACAUGAAUUUUAUAUUUAGAUAUGCACCGACGGAUGAUCCAUAACGAUGGAUUGGUUUCUGUCCGUAGCGAUAGAAAUUUUUUAUUUGAUCUGCAACGACAAAUUGAUUUAUGGUCGUAGCGACAGACUUUUUUUAUUUAGAUUUGUAACGACGGAUUCGUUUUAGACAUAACGAAUAUUUGCAAAACAAAGAAAAAACUGAUAUCCGUAGCGACGGAUUCGGUCUAGCCAUAGCGAUAAAACGAUACUCUGCAAACAAAGAAAAAACUGAUAUCUAUAGCAACGAAUUCAUUUAGCCAUAGCGAUAAAACCAUACCUGCAAAAGAGAAAAAACAUACAAGUCAAAAGUAUUGAAAUAAUUGAAAUUUUUUAUAAUAUGAUUUGACUUUUAUGUUACUCCUUUCUUUUGCUCAAUAAAUAUCCU
rnacentral:lncRNA from 1 species